rnacentral:tRNA from 1 species
AAGGAUUUAGUUUAAAUUGUUAAAACAUAUAUAUAGGUUAAAAAAAAUAUAUAUAUAAAUAUAUAGGUUAGAAUCCUGUAAUCCUUA